UACGUAGGGUGCAGGCGUAAUCGGAAUUACUGGGCGUAAAGCGUGCGCAGGCGGUUUCUUAAGUCAGAUGUGAAAGCCCCGGGCUUAACCUGGGAACUGCGUUUGAAACUGGGAGACUGAGUGUGGCAGAGGGGGGUGGAAUUCCACGUGUAGCAGUGAAAUGCGUAGAUAUGUGGAGGAACACCGAUGGCGAAGGCAGCCCCCUGGGUUAACACUGACGCUCAUGCACGAAAGCGUGGGGAGCAAACAGG
rnacentral:rRNA from 1 species